CGCAUCUGUGCAUGCAGCAUAUCAAUAAGCGGAGGAAAAGAAACUAACAAGGAUUCCCCUAGUAACGGCGAGGUGAAGCGGGAAGAGCUCAAAUUUGAAAUCUUAAAGGGUUUCCCUUUACGAAUUGUAGUUUAAAGAAGUGUUUUCUGUUGAGGUUUUGGUAAAAGUUCUUUGGAAUAGGACAUCAUAGAGGGUGAGAAUCCCGUAUUUGACCUUUACUUUCAACUUUGUGAUACACUUUCAAAGAGUCGGAUUGUUUGGGAAUGCAGUCCAAAAUGGGUGGUAAAUUUCAUCUAAAGCUAAAUAUUGGCGAGAGACCGAUAGCGAACAAGUACCGUGAGGAAAGAUGAAAAGAACUUUGAAAAGAGAGUUAAACAGUACGUGAAAUUGUCAAAAGGGAAGCGUUUGACACCAGUGUUGUUUUUCCGAAAAUCAAUUACGAAUGGCUUGAUUUUGUGUUGUAUUGACCUUAUCAGCUUUCUGCACUUUUUUCGAGUCUUUCUUAAUGCACUUUUCGGUUAACAAGUCAACAUCAAUUUCUUUUGUUGUAAAAGAGUAUUCGGAAGGUGGCUUUCUUCUCGGAGAAAGUGUUUAUAGCCCUAUACUUCUACAAUCGGAGAGAUUGAGGUCUGCAGCGUAGAUCCUUCGGGGUUAGAUACACUUGUGCUAAGUUGUAACAUUUUAUAGACAACUUGUUGACUAUGAUUUGUCUUGUAGCUUACUCGCUUAUGUUAUUUUACCUACGCUUAGGAUGUUGAGCGCAUGUCUCUCUCU
rnacentral:rRNA from 1 species